CUCCCAUCCUACUGUGACCCAGUCUGGAAAAGUCUUCACUGCACCUGACACAUGACAUUAAUGUCCUAAAAUCGGUGCAUGCAUGUGCCAAACUUAGACAUUGCCAAACUAUGCAGAAUUCUCAAACAGUUUGUGGUUAAAGAAAUGUUUGGAAAUCAACUUAUUCAUAGCACCAUAGUGAAAUGAUUUUUUGAAACAUGGGGUUUGAAAUCAUCUGGUCUGAGCUUGGUGCCAAACAUGUAGUUCACUCUGAGCUCACUAGUUUAACAUGUGCACACACUGUGUUGCCAGAAGUUAUGCAAGAUGUAACCUGUAUAGUUUAUUCUGUUUGUGGCAGGCAAAUAGUGAGAUUGGCUCCAAUUCGAGAGAUGCGGGUGAAACGUGAAAGCAAGACACUGAGGAUGAACACAGGCUGGGAUAAGAAAGAGUGGCUCUCAAGAUCUGACCACAAGGACACCAGCACAGCCACAUUUGAGUCCCCUUUAUGUGAUAUUUUGAUUGGGGCUUGUGAAUCUGGCAUACAUAGCAUUUCAUGGCAAAUGAACAAUGAUUCUUCCAUGGUGCCAAAGGCAAGACAGGAGACGUGGGGGGCGGUGACGGGCCGGCAAGGCCCGAGCUGUGCGCCGCUCGAGGAGGCCGUCGCGUGGCUGCGCCAGUACUUCCGCGACCCGCACGUCGCCCAGCGUCCGCCGCCGCUCUGCCUACGGCAGGUCAAAGUUGAGUCAUGCAUUCCGAUUUGGCAUAAGCUCAAGGACCAAGUGGGGCCAGGAACUACGAUUUCGUAUGGCGGACUGGCGCAGCUAUGUGGAAACCCAAAGGCCAGCCGCCACGUGGGCUAUGCCAUGGGACACAACCCUUUCACGCUGGUGGUGCCGUGCCAUCGAGUAGUGACAUCUAGUGGCAAGCUGGGAAACUAUUGUCGCGGUCGCGGGAACCAGCUGAAGACCUGGCUGCAUGCGCAUGAGCUGGGAGGGCUCGACUGUGAGUCAAACUGAUGCCCGCAGCAUUCGCUGAAGGGCGUCCGCACCCUGUAGAUGAUGAGCGGCGGAAGUGGGCGCGGCAUUGUUAGUCUUCGCGACCGGGUAAGGUGUGCGUUUGACGUCUCCACGACCCUCCUUAUCCCGA